GUGAGCGCUGGCGGUAGGCCUAACACAUGCAAGUCGCACGGCAGCACAGUAAGAGCUUGCUCUUACGGGUGGCGAGUGGCGGACGGGUGAGGAAUACAUCGGAAUCUACUUUUUCGUGGGGGAUAACGUAGGGAAACUUACGCUAAUACCGCAUACGACCUACGGGUGAAAGCAGGGGAUCUUCGGACCUUGCGCGAUUGGAUGAGCCGAUGUCGGAUUAGCUAGUUGGCGGGGUAAAGGCCCACCAAGGCGACGAUCCGUAGCUGGUCUGAGAGGAUGAUCAGCCACACUGGAACUGAGACACGGUCCAGACUCCUACGGGAGGCAGCAGUGGGGAAUAUUGGACAAUGGGCGCAAGCCUGAUCCAGCCAUACCGCGUGGGUGAAGAAGGCCUUCGGGUUGUAAAGCCCUUUUGUUGGGAAAGAAAAGCAGCAGGUUAAUACCCCGCUGUUCUGACGGUACCCAAAGAAUAAGCACCGGCUAACUUCGUG
rnacentral:rRNA from 1 species